GGACGACCUGGUCCACCGGGGUCAGUUGGACCACGAGGAUAUGGUGGAUUCAAGGUGAAUUUACUUUAUAUACAGUAGUUGUUUUGUUGCUUAAACCUGCAGUUUCAUUUAUUAACGAAAGAUUUGGUAAUAUUUAAUUUUUAGGGAAAGCCAGGUGAUCCAGGACACAAAGGUCGCCGAGGAAGGCAAGGGGAAAUGGUACUUUUAAAUAAAUAAAUAAAUAAAAACCAACUUUCCGCUUAAUAAGCACCCAAGCCUAGAAGGAUUUCAGAACAAUGCAUGCGUGUUUGUUGCGUAUGCUCAAACACCAGCAGCCGCUGACUUACUAUCGUCAUGCGCAUGCUGGUAUGCUAGAAACCACUGACCGUAAUAAC
rnacentral:lncRNA from 1 species